rnacentral:rRNA from 1 species
AUUGAACGCUGGCGGCAGGCUUAACACAUGCAAGUCGAGCGGGGAAGGGUAGCUUGCUACCUGACCUAGCGGCGGACGGGUGAGUAAUGCUUAGGAAUCUGCCUAUUAGUGGGGGACAACAUUCCGAAAGGAAUGCUAAUACCGCAUACGCCCUACGGGGGAAAGCAGGGGAUCUUCGGACCUUGCGCUAAUAGAUGAGCCUAAGUCAGAUUAGAUAGUUGGUGGGGUAAAGGCCUACCAAGGCGACGAUCUGUAGCGGGUCUGAGAGGAUGAUCCGCCACACUGGGACUGAGACACGGCCCAGACUCCUACGGGAGGCAGCAGUGGGGAAUAUUGGACAAUGGGCGAAAGCCUGAUCCAGCCAUGCCGCGUGUGUGAAGAAGGCCUUUUGGUUGUAAAGCACUUUAAGCGAGGAGGAGGCUACUUGGAUUAAUACUCUAGGAUAGUGGACGUUACUCGCAGAAUAAGCACCGGCUAACUCUGUGCCAGCAGCCGCGGUAAUACAGAGGGUGCGAGCGUUAAUCGGAUUUACUGGGCGUAAAGCGUGCGUAGGCGGCUUUUUAAGUCGGAUGUGAAAUCCCUGAGCUUAACUUAGGAAUUGCAUUCGAUACUGGGAAGCUAGAGUAUGGGAGAGGAUGGUAGAAUUCCAGGUGUAGCGGUGAAAUGCGUAGAGAUCUGGAGGAAUACCGAUGGCGAAAGCAGCCAUCUGGCCUAAUACUGACGCUGAGGUACGAAAGCAUGGGGAGCAAACAGGA